AACGCACAUUGCGCCCAUUGGUAUUCCGAUGGGCAUGCCUGUUCGAGCGUCAUUAUCCUCCCUCAGACCGGUUUUCUGGUCUGGUGUUGGGCCGCGUCCGUCGCCCCCGUGGCGGCCGACUGGCCUCAAAGACAAUGACGGCGUCCGCGGGACCCUCGGUGCAACGAGCUUCUAGGAGCACGCGUCGAGUUUCAAGGUCCCACCGGGCCGGUCGACCCCCAAUUUUUCACAAAGGUUGACCUCGGAUCAGGUAGGAAUACCCGCUGAACUUAA
rnacentral:misc_RNA from 1 species